rnacentral:rRNA from 1 species
CUUUUCUUGUUAGUUUUUGAAGUAUAGCCUGCCCACUGACUUUUAGUUGAAGGGCCGCGGUAUUUUGACCGUGCAAAGGUAGCAUAAUCAUUAGUUCUUUAAUUGUGAUCUGGUAUGAAUGGCUUGACGAGAUAUAAGCUGUCUUGGAGGUAUUGUUAUAGUUGAAUUUGGUUUUUGAGUUAAAAUUCUUAAAUGUUUUUAUGGGACGAGAAGACCCUAUAGAGUUUAACAUUUAUCUUGUUUUUUUUUGUGUUUGUAUUUAUAUAUAAGUUGGAUUAAUGUUUUGUUGGGGUGAUGGGAGGAAUAUUUUUAACUCCUCUUUAUUUUUUUAUAUUUAUUUAUAGUUUUUGUUUGAUCCAUUUAUUAUGAUUGUAAGAUUAAAUUACC